rnacentral:tRNA from 1 species
GCGAGGAUGGCGGAAAUGGUAGACGCGCAAGGCUGAGGACCUUGUGGCUAAUAAAUAAGCCAUGGGGGUUCAAUUCCCCCUCCUCGCACCA